rnacentral:lncRNA from 1 species
CAAACAAGUAGAGUUUUACCAGUUGCAUAUAUUGAUAUGAAGAUAAAAAAAUAAAAAAUAAAAAUAAAAACUCUUUGGUAUUCCAAUAAAAUGAAACCAAUGCAUGGAAAGAGGUUAGAUUUACAUAAAAGUGGGUCAAUUCUGGCAGGCUUCUAUGUUUCUUCUUUGGCAACAAAAAACCCCACUGAACUUUCAAGACAAAAUAUAAAAUAAAAAAGUCAAUGUUCUAUCAAACCAGCACAUAACAACUCAUCAACCAAUGUUUAUAAUAAUAAAAAAUAGUGUGAGGAAAAUUGGGAUUAUUAGUUGUGAAGGAAUCCAAUGGAUGGUACAAGACAAAUUGGCUUGAGCUUUGUGGCAUAAGACCCAUCUAUAGAUAUUUUAGUGCCCUUGUGUCUCUCUUU